UAGGCUUUCUACUCAGCUGAGUUGGAAUGAUCUGUUGCCAUUGGGCUUAUCAUUCCAAGCUUGUGAAAUGGCUAGACACUACCAGCCAUUUAUUUGAAUUUUGGGGAAGAAGACUAUUAAAGCCAAAGACAAAAGAUUUUAUUUACUAUAGAUCCACCCAUACAGGUGAGAACACUCACUAAUUUUAAUACAGUCAGAAUUAAUCCAUGGAAAUGCAAGAGCCAGAUUCU
rnacentral:lncRNA from 1 species